UGAACGCUGGCGGCGUGCUUAACACAUGCAAGUCGAACGGAGUUUUAACGGAAGUUUCGGAUGGAAGUUAAGAACUUAGUGGCGGACGGGUGAGUAACGCGUGGGUAACCUGCCUCAAUACAGGGGGAUAACAGUUAGAAAUGACUGCUAACACCGCAUAAUAUAGUGAAACCGCAUGAUUUUGCUAUCAAAUAUUUAUAGGUAUGGAGAUGGGCCCGCGUCUGAUUAGCUAGUUGGUGGGGUAAAAGCCUACCAAGGCGACGAUCAGUAGCCGGCUUGAGAGAGUGACCGGCCACAUUGGGACUGAGACACGGCCCAAACUCCUACGGGAGGCAGCAGUGGGAAUAUUGGACAAUGGGGGAAACCCUGAUCCAGCGAACCGCCGCGUGAGUGAAGAAGUAUUUCGGUAUGUAAAGCUCUAUCAGCAGGGAAGAUAAUGACAGUACCUGACUAAGAAGCCCCGGCUAACUACGUGCCAGCCGCAGC
rnacentral:rRNA from 1 species